rnacentral:lncRNA from 8 species
AUGUGGAGGCUAUAUACAGGGUAUUACGGUACAGAGUCAAUGUGGAGGCUAUAUACAGGGUAUUACGGUACAGAGUCAAUGUGGAGGCUAUAUACAGGGUAUUACGGUACAGAGUCAAUGUGGAGGCUCUAUACAGGGUAUUACGGUACAGAGUCAAUGUGGAGGCUAUAUACAGGGUAUUACGGUACAGAGUCAAUGUGGAGGCUCUAUACAGGGUAUUACGGUACAGAGUCAAUGUGGAGGCUAUAUACAGGGUAUUACGGUACAGAGUCAAUGUGGAGGCUAUAUACAGGGUAUUACGGUACAGAGUCAAUGUGGAGGCUCUAUACAGGGUAUUACGGUACAGAGUCAAUGUGGAGGCUAUAUACAGGGGGUACCGGUACAGAGUCAAUGUGGAGGCUAUAUACAGGGUAUUACGGUACAGAGUCAAUGUGGAGGCUAUAUACAGGGUGUUACGGUACAGAGUCAAUGUGGAGGCUAUAUACAGGGUAUUACGGUACAGAGUCAAUGUGGAGGCUAUAUACAGGGUAUUACGGUACAGAGUCAAUGUGGAGGCUCUAUACAGGGUAUUACGGUACAGAGUCAAUGUGGAGGCUAUAUACAGGGUAUUACGGUACAGAGUCAAUGUGGAGGCUAUAUACAGGGUAUUACGGUACAGAGUCAAUGUGGAGGCUAUAUACAGGGUAUUACGGUACAGAGUCAAUGUGGAGGCUAUAUACAGGGUAUUACGGUACAGAGUCAAUGUGGAGGCUAUAUACAGGGUAUUACGGUACAGAGUCAAUGUGGAGGCUAUAUACAGGGUAUUACGGUACAGAGUCAAUGUGGAGGCUAUAUACAGGGUAUUACGGUACAGAGUCAAUGUGGAGGCUAUAUACAGGGUGUUACGGUACAGAGUCAAUGUGGAGGCUAUAUACAGGGUAUUACGGUACAGAGUCAAUGUGGAGGCUAUAUACAGGGUGUUACGGUACAGAGUCAAUGUGGAGGCUCUAUACAGGGUAUUACGGUACAGAGUCAAUGUGGAGGCUAUAUACAGGGUAUUACGGUACAGAGUCAAUGUGGAGGCUAUAUACAGGGUAUUACGGUACAGAGUCAAUGUGGAGGCUCUAUACAGGGUAUUACGGUACAGAGUCAAUGUGGAGGCUAUAUACAGGGGGUACCGGUACAGAGUCAAUGUGGAGGCUAUAUACAGGGUAUUACGGUACAGAGUCAAUGUGGAGGCUCUAUACAGGGUGUUACGGUACAGAGUCAAUGUGGAGGCUAUAUACAGGGGGUACCGGUACAGAGUCAAUGUGGAGACUAUAUACAGGGUGUUACGGUACAGAGUCAAUGUGGAGGCUAUAUACAGGGUGUUACGGUACAGAGUCAAUGUGGAGGCUCUAUACAGGGUGUUACGGUACAGAGUCAAUGUGGAGGCUAUAUACAGGGUGUUACGGUACAGAGUCAAUGUGGAGGCUAUAUACAGGGUGUUACGGAACAGAGUCAAUGUGGAGGCUAUAUACAGGGGGUACCGGUACAGAGUCAAUGUGGAGGCUAUAUACAGGGGGUACCGGUACAGAGUCAAUGUGGAGGCUAUAUACAGGGGGUACCGGUACAGAGUCAAUGUGGAGGCUAUAUACAGGGGGUACCGGUACAGAGUCAAUGUGGAGGCUAUAUACAGGGGGUACCGGUACAGAGUCAAUGUGGAGGCUAUAUACAGGGGGGUACCGGUACAGAGUCAAUGUGGAGGCUAUAUACAGGGGGGUACCGGUACAGAGUCAAUGUGGAGGCUAUAUACAGGGGGUACCUGUACAGAGUCAAUGUGGAGGCUAUAUACAGGGGGUACCGGUACAGAGUCAAUGUGGAGGCUAUAUACAGGGGGUACCAGUACAGAGUCAAUGUGGAGGCUAUAUACAGGGGGUACCUGUACAGAGUCAAUGUGGAGGCUAUAUACAGGGGGUACCGGUACAGAGUCAAUGUAGAGGCUAUAUACAGGGUGUUACGGUACAGAGUCAAUGUGGAGGCUAUAUACAGGGGGGUACCGGUACAGAGUCAAUGUGGAGGCUAUAUACAGGGGGUACCGGUACAGAGUCAAUGUGGAGGCUAUAUACAUGGGGUACCGGUACAGAGUCAAUGUGGAGGCUAUAUACAGGGGUACCGGUACAGAGUCAAUGUGGAGGCUAUAUACAGGGGGUACCGGUACAGAGUCAAUGUGGAGGCUAUAUACAGGGUGUUACGGUACAGAGUCAAUGUGCAGGAGCACCGGUGUCAAGGUAA